rnacentral:rRNA from 1 species
GUCGACAGCAGCGGUUUCGGUCUGGUGGCGGUGGCGAACGGGUGAGUAAUGUAUGCGGAACGGUACUGUGGCGGGGAUAACUGCACGCGAAAGCGGCAGCUAAUACCACGCACGCCCUUCAGGAAAGCGCGAGACGCUGGACUCGCACUAUUAGGCGGCCUGAUAUCAGGAUUAGCUGGUGGUGGGUAACGGCUCCUGACGGCAGUAUCCAUGCAGCUGGUUGAGAGGACGACCAGCCACACUGGGUUGAGGACCUGGCCAGACUCUACGGGAGGCAGCAGUUGGGGUACGGCCGUGGAAACCUGGUCCAGCCAUCCCGCGUGUGCGUUGAAGGCUUCUUCGGGUUAAGCACACUUUGGGCGGAAAAGCGGCGCGGAUGUUACCCACGUACAGCUAAUGAUACCUGCGGGAGAUAACCUGCAAGCUAACUGCAUUUAGCCCAGCCGCGGUAAUAUGGUGCAAGCGUUAAUCGAAUUACUGGGCGUAAGCGUGCGCAGGCGGUUCGGAAGAAGAUAUCGCCAAAUCCCGAGGCUUAACUUUGGAGCUGCAUUUUUAACUGCCGAGCUAGAGUGUGUCAGAGGUGGGCCAUAUGCGCAGUGAUACGUAGAUAUGGAGGAACACCGAUGGCAGCGGCCUCCUGGGAUAACACUGACAUCUUGCACGAAAGCGUGGGAACGCAAACGGAUUAGAUACCUGUGUCCACGCCCUAAACGAUCAACUAACUGUUGAGACCUUCCAGGCGCCCAGUAGCGCAACUAACGCGUGAGAGAUUGACCGCCUGGGGAGUCACGGUCGCAAGGUCGGCUUUCAAAGGAGCCGGCGGGGACCCGCACCGGCGUGGAUGAUGUGGUUAAUUCAGUACAACGCGAAAAACCUUACCUACCAUGACAUGUCUGAGUCCGAAAGAAUUUGAGUGCUCGCAAGAGAACCGGAACACAGGUACUAUGCAGCUGUCGUCAGCUCGUGAGAUGUUGGGUCAAGUCCCCGCAACACGGCACAGCCCUUCAUCAUUGAACGCCACGAAAGACGCUCUAAUGAGACUACCAGUAUAAGCCGGAGGAGAGGUGGGGGAUGACGUCAAGUCCUCAUGGCAUAUGGUGCAGGGCACCGUCAUACAAUGGUCGGGACAGAGGGUCGCCAACCGCGAGAGGUAAUCCCGAAACCCAGUCUACGUGAUCCGGUCGCCGGUCGCAGCUCGACUGCGGUGCGAUCGCUAGCGAUAAUCGCGGAUCAGCAUGUCGCGUGAAUACGUUCCCGGGUCUUGCACACACCGCCCGUCACACCAUGGGAGUGGGUUUCAGAAGUAGUUGGCUAACCGUGAAGGAGGCGAUUACCACGGUAGGAUUCAUGACUGGGGUGGAGUCAUAACUGGUAGC